rnacentral:rRNA from 1 species
UACGUAGGGCGCAAGCGUUGUCCGGAAUUAUUGGACGUAAAGAGCUCGUAGGCGGCCAGUUGCGUCUGCUGUGAAAUCCCGGGGCUCAACCCCGGGCGUGCAGUGGAUACGGGCUGGCUAGAGGCAGGCAGGGGAGAACGGAAUUCCCGGUGUAGCGGUGAAAUGCGCAGAUAUCGGGAGGAACACCGGUGGCGAAGGCGGUUCUCUGGGCCUGUACUGACGCUGAGGAGCGAAAGCGUGGGGAGCGAACAGG